AGACGUAGGUGGCGAGCGUUAUUCGGAAUCACUAGGCGUAAAGCGCGUGUAGGCGGGUGCUUAAGUCUGUUGUGAAAUCUUCUGGCUCAACUGGGAGACUGCGACGGAUACUGGGUGUCUUGAGUUUGGUAGGGGGGACUGGAAUUCCCUGUGUAGCGGUGAAAUGCGCAGAUAUAGGGAAGAACACCGGUGGCGAAGGCGAGUCCCUGGGCCACAACUGACGCUAAGACGCGAAAGCGUGGGUAGCAAACAGGAUUAGAAACCCCGGUAGUCC
rnacentral:rRNA from 1 species